UACGAAGGGGGCUAGCGUUGCUCGGAAUCACUGGGCGUAAAGCGCACGUAGGCGGCUUCUUAAGUCAGGGGUGAAAUCCUGGAGCUCAACUCCAGAACUGCCUUUGAUACUGGGGAUCUCGAGUCCGGAAGAGGUGAGUGGAACUCCGAGUGUAGAGGUGAAAUUCGUAGAUAUUCGGAAGAACACCAGUGGCGAAGGCGGCUCACUGGUCCGGUACUGACGCUGAGGUGCGAAAGCGUGGGUAGCAAACAGG
rnacentral:rRNA from 1 species